rnacentral:rRNA from 1 species
UGGGGAAUUUUGCACAAUGGGGGAAACCCUGAUGCAGCGACGCCGCGUGAUUUAGAAGGCCUUCGGGUUGUAAAAAUCUUUUCUAUGGGAAGAAAAUGACAGUACCAUAGGAAUAAGGACCGGCUAAUUACGUGCCAGCAGCCGCGGUAAUACGUAAGGUCCGAGCGUUGUCCGGAAUCAUUGGGCGUAAAGGGUACGUAGGCGGGUAAGCAAGUUAGAAGUGAAAUCCUAUAGCUCAACUAUAGUAAGCUUUUAAAACUGCUCAUCUUGAGGUAUGGAAGGGAAAGUGGAAUUCCUAGUGUAGCGGUGAAAUGCGCAGAUAUUAGGAGGAAUACCGGUGGCUAAGGCGAGUUUCUGGCCAUAACCUGACGCUGAGGUACGAAAGCGUGGGUAGCAAACAGG